GGAAUCUUCCACAAUGGACGAAAGUCUGAUGGAGCAACGCCGCGUGAGUGAAGAAGGUUUUCGGAUCGUAAAACUCUGUUGUUGGAGAAGAACACGUUUGAGAGUAACUGUUCAGACGUUGACGGUAUCCAACCAGAAAGCCAAGGCUAACUACGUGCCAGCAGCCGCGGUAAUACGGAGGAUGCGAGCGUUAUCCGGAUUUAUUGGGUUUAAAGGGUGCGUAGGCGGACGAUUAAGCGUGAGGUGAAAUGCCCGGGCUCAACCUGGGAACUGCCUCGCGAACUGGUUGUCUGGAAUGCUCCUGCCGUGGGAGGAAUGUGUGGUGUAGCGGUGAAAUGCAUAGAGAUCACACAGAACACCGAUUGCGAAGGCAUCUCACGAAGGGGUGAUUGACGCUGAGGCACGAAAGCGUGGGGAUCAAACA
rnacentral:rRNA from 1 species